rnacentral:rRNA from 1 species
UACGGAGGGGGGCUAGCGUUGUUCGGAAUUACUGGGCGUAAAGAGCUCGUAGGCGGCUUGUCGCGUCGAAUGUGAAAACUCGGGGCUCAACUCCGAGCUUGCAUUCGAUACGGGCAGGCUAGAGUUCGGUAGGGGGAGACUGGAAUUCCUGGUGUAGCGGUGAAAUGCGCAGAUAUCAGGAGGAACACCGGUGGCGAAGGCGGGUCUCUGGGCAGUAACUGACGUGAGGAGCGAAAGCGUGGGGAGCGAACAGG